UCCAGCAGCCAUAUCAACCUGCAACUCACAACUGGCAACCCACUGAAGCUAAGCAGGUGUGAGCCUGGUCAGUACCUGGAUGGGAGACCUCCUGGGAAAAACUAAGGUUGCUGAGA
rnacentral:rRNA from 1 species